rnacentral:rRNA from 1 species
AUCGAACGCUGGCGGCAGGCCUAACACAUGCAAGUCGAACGAGUGGCGGACGGGUGAGUAAUGUCUGGGAAACUGCCUGAUGGAUGGGGUUAACUACUGGAACCGGUAGCUAAUACCGCAUACCAUCAGAUGUGCCCAGGUGGGCUUGGCUUGUUGGUGGGGGAAUGGCUCACCAAGGGGACGAGCCCUAGCUGGUCUGAGAGGAUGACCAGCCACACUGGAAAGGAGACACGGUCCUGACUCCUACGGGAGGCAGCAGGGGGGAAUAGUGCGAAAUGGGCGCAGGCCUGAUGCAGCCAUGCCGCGUGUAUGAGGAGGGCCUUCGGGUUGUAAAGUACUUUCAGCGGGGAGGCGUUACCCGCAGAAGAAGCACCGGCUAACUACGUGCCAGCAGCCGCGGUAAUUC